GUCCGCGAAUAGUCGACGAAUAGUACGAAUAGUGCACGAAUAGGCGACGAAUAGUACGAAUAGUGCAAUAGAGACUUUGCAAGGCUUUGCAGCAGUGCUGUAGAACUAAAUUUACCGGGGGGGGGGCUCUGUUGACAAACAUGAAAUCGUGAAAACAUUCGUCGACGUACGUCAAUGACGUCAUACGUCUAGUGAUUGUCAUCAGUGGCGCCGUGGCCGGGGGGGCCAGGUGGGGGGCAUGGCCCUCCCCUAUUGUUGACACCCGUCGUAAAAUUGCCAAUGCUGCCGGAAAUUGUCGGAAAAUUGUCAAGGCUGUCGGAAAUUGUCAAAGUUGUCGACGGGGGGGGGAAGAUUUAAAAUGUUGUCGUCCGGAAAACUUUUUGGUUUGUCGGAAAAAUUUUUCGGUUUGUCGGAAAAGUACUGCCCUUGCCCCCCCCCAAAAAAAAACAUGGGUCCCACGGCGCCACUGAUUGUCAUUCUACUUCCUGUUAAAUAUUUGUUAAAACUCAG